rnacentral:rRNA from 1 species
UACGGAGGGUGCAAGCGUUAUCCGGAUUUACUGGGUUUAAAGGGUGCGCAGGCGGAUAUGUAAGUCAGUGGUGAAAUCUCCGGGCUUAACCCGGAACUGCCGUUGAUACUAUAUAUCUUGAAUGCUGUGGAGGUAAGCAGAAUAUGUCAUGUAGCGGUGAAAAUGCUUAGAUAUGACAUAGAAUACCUAUUGCGAAGGCAGCUUACUACGCAGAUAUUGACGCUCAUGCACGAAAGCGUGGGGAUCAAACAGG